rnacentral:rRNA from 1 species
UAUAGAACAUAUGUUUAUAAGUAUAUAAAGAGAUCAUUUUGUGCAAAUAGCUGUGUUUUAGUGGGAGCAGUAAUGAUUUAUUUAAUAAAUAUUAACCCUAAGAGAAAUUUGAUAAAAAACGAAGCGAAUUGAAAUAUCUUAAUAGCUUUAGGAAAAGAAAUCAAAAGAGAUUCUAUGAUUAGUGUGAGCGAAAGUAGACAAGCCUAAAAAAAAGUAAAACAGAUUUAAAUCUUCUUGAACUUUAAGGGGAACCUUCCUCUAAGGCUAAAUAAUAAACAUAAGCGAUAGUGUAAUAGUACCGUGAGGGAAAUUUGUAAAAAGUUAUUUUAUAAGCAGUUCAAGCUAAAAAAAAGCAAGAACGUACCUUUUGCAUAAUGGGUCACCAAGUUAACUUUGGAUGCAAGUUAGCGCGUAGUUAAAACAAUCAUAAGUAAUGAUUAGUGUCUAAAGUUAGACCCGAAGCCUGGUGAUUUUACCACAAUCAGGAUUAUAAAAGUCCGAACGGUAUAUCGUUGCAAAGAUAUCCGAAGAAUUGUGGUAGGUAUGGUGAAAGACAACACUGACCAGGAAAGCUGGUUUUCUGCGAAACCUAUAAAAGUAGGCAAUUUUAGUUACAUCUUAGUAGGUACAGAACUUAAUCUCAGACAAAUAGUAUAUUUGUAUAUAUCGGGGGAUCGUGAAGAUUUUAUCGGUGAGUAUGUAGACUCGGAAUGACAAAGAUGAAUCUAAAAUAAUCAGACAUAGAGUGAUAAGGUUGUAUGUCAAAAGGGAAACAGCCCAGAACAAAAGUUAAGGUUCCAAAAUUAUAGUUGAGUGAAAUUAAGAAAGUUUCUAUUUAAGCCGACAAGGAGAUGGGCUUAGAAGCAGCCAUAAUUUAAUGACCUCGUAAUAGAGCACUUGUUAAACCUUUAGAAGCGUCGAAAAUUCAACGGAUCUAAACUAUAUACCGAAACUUUGUCCAUUUAUAUUAUUAUUAUAUAAUUGUAUAAUAAGGGGUAGCAGAACAUUGAAUUAACACUAGAAAUUCCUUUUUUAAAGGGAUCUGAAAGUAAUUCAAGAGAUAAUGGUGACAUUAGUAACAAUAAGAAGACAAUAAUACUAAAUAACAUGGUAAAAGUCUCCGCCUAAAGCUUAUGGUCCGUAAAAAGUAACGGCCUCUAAAUUGAAAAUCUAAUGGUUUUGAUGAUGAGUAAAUCUUUUUUUACUAAAGGACGACGUUUUAAAGUGAAAAGCGUACUGGAAAAAUAGUAAUAUAUCUAAAAAGAUGAAAAACAACCGUACCUGGAUUAACCGCAACAGGUAAGCUAGUAGAGAAUACGAAGGCGUAAAUGGGAUAACAAUCUUAAUAUAUAGGGUUAGGCUCCUAUAUUGAGAAUAAGAGCCAAACUCCGGGGAAGCCCUAAAGCUCCUAAUACCAAACUUAAUGGCGAAAGUAUUAAGCGGACCAACUAAUCACUGGUGUAUGGUAAUAAGUUAGGUAGAUUUUAGAAAUAAGAAUGGGUGAUCGCGGAUCUAAAUCAAUUAUAGUAAAAUUAUCUUUGCCCCCUUCGGGGGGCCAUUUCCCCGGCACAGCACCCCCUCAGCUUCAGCUGAGUGGGUUUCGGGGAAAUAGGUAGUGAUAUUAUAGUUGUAAAAGAGCAACGAGUAGAUGGUUCUUCAAUAUAUAUGUAUAUUAUAUAUUGUAAGGUGUACUCUAGCCCCCAAAGAAACUUGGUUUUUUAAUAAUUUAUCUUUAAUAUAUUUGUAUUUGUAGGCUAUAUAAGCCACAAUGUUUGUUUCUAUAAAUUACCUAAUUAAGGGAGCUAGCGUAAGCUAUAACUUCCACUAAAUAUAUGAAUUAUGUAAGUUUUAUAAUUUUUCUAAUAAAAUUAAAUAACACUACCGCUUUAUUUUUUUAGUAACUAGCAUUAGGCCUAACGGUCCGUCGAGUCGGGCGAUAUUAUGGUUGGGGCUAGCACCCUCUUCUUGUGGUAUUUUAGAUGAUGAUUUUUAUAGAAAAUAUUGCACGGGAGUCUCGAAGUUUAAAUCAAUAUUAUAAGAUAUGAUAUCUGUUAUAUUGUAAUUAACAGUAAGGGUAUUAGGAUAGAAUAUUUGUAAAAGAAUAUCUCCGGACUGAUCUCCAUGAUCAAUGGAAUAAGGUAAUCUUUUGAUUUUAGGAAUUAGUUAAGGUGCAUCAAAAAGGAUUAAAGGCCCUUUUUAUGUAACGAUCUGAGUAGUAGUUAAACAACCUGCUAAACAAAUUCUGUUAAUUAUAAUAUUCUUAAGGAGUUACCUUAUAUAUUUGGCUCCCACUUAGUGACUUAAUAAUAAAAUAAAAACAGCGACAAAGAAUUUUACUAAUAAUUUAAUUAAUUUUAUUAACCCUAGUUAUAUCUCAGGGUUUGUUGAUGCAGAAGGGUGUUUUCAUGUUUCUGUUAUUAAAAAUAAAAAUUUACAUUUAGGUGUAAAUGUUAGGGCUAUUUUUCAAAUAACUCUUCAUAAUAAAGAUCAAGCUUUACUAGAAAAAAUAAAAGAUUUCUUUAAUGUUGGAUCAGUUUCUAUACGUACAGAUGGUGAAGCCGUCUAUGGUGUUUAUUCUUUAAAAGAUCUUCGAAUUAUUGUAAAUCAUUUUGAUAAGUAUCCUUUGAUAAGUGAUAAAUGAGCUGAUUUCCAGUUAUUUAAACAAGUUGUUGAGCUAAUGGAAAAUAAAGAACAUUUAACUGAGAAUGGUUUAAAAAAAAUAAUUAAUCUUAAAGCAUCAAUGAAUUUUAGUGCUAUUUCUGAGGAUUUAAAAGUUUUAUUUCCUAAUAUUGAACCUGUUGAGAGACCUGUGAGAGAUGAUAUAAUUAUUUAUGAUCCUUACUGGGUAACUGGGUUUGUAGAAGGAGAGGGAAUGUUUUUUGUAAAUAUAUAUAAAAAAAAAGAAUCUGUUUUAGGGGAAGGUGUUAAAUUAAUAUUUAAAAUAACACAAGAUAGUAAAAAUAAAGUACUAUUAGAAAGUUUUGUAAAUACUUUUUUUUCAGGUAAAGUCUAUAAACAAUCACCAACUACUAAAGUAUUAGAUUUUAUGAUAACAGGUCUUGGAGAUAUAACAAAAAAUGUUAUACCUUUUUUUGAAUCUUAUCCUUUAUUGGGAUCAAAGAAAAGAGAUUAUGAAGAUUUUAAAUUAGUUUCAGAUUUAAUGAAAACUAAAGAGCAUUUAAAUAAAAAAGGAUUAGAAUCGAUCCGUAAGAUUAAAUCGGGAAUGAACUCGAAUCGUAACUAAGAGGUGUUUACAUAAUUGUAAGCGCCUAAUUUUAAUUUGUAUUGUAUAUCAACCUGACGCCCACUAGGGCGGUUCUUCUUUGAGGGAACUCAUUAAAUAUUAAAGAUAAAUUAUUAAAAUUAAGGUAAAGCAUAUUAGCCUUUUCAUAUACUUUUUUAGAGCUUAUAUCUAAAAAAUGGUUUUUUUACUAAGAUAUGGAUAGAAAUAUGUAGCGAAAGGAACUCGGCAAAUUUACUACGUAACUUCGGAAUAAGGAGGUCUCAUUAGUCUUGAUUAAUAUCAGGUAAAAAGGAAGAAGCAUGAAAUAAUGUUGUACGACUGUUUAAUUAAAACACAGCACUUUGCGUCAAAGAUUUAAAUCAAAGUAUAAAGUGUGAUGUCUGCCCGGUGCCGGCUGGUUAACAGAUAUAAUUAAAUUUUCUUAGGGAAUUUAGUGUUGACGGAACCCCCGGUUAAUGGCGGCCUUAACGUGAGGGUCCUAAGGUAGCGAAAUGCCUUGGCCGUUAAAUGCGGUCUUGCAUGAAUGAUGUAACGAUACAACAGCUGUCUCUAAGAUUGACCCAGUGAACUUGAAUUAGCAGUGUUUAUGUGUGGUUAUAUUAAUUAUAACCUUGCUGCGUAAGUGAAAAUCUUACUCUACAAAUCUACUUUUUUUAAAUUUUUCUUCGUUGUGUAUAUGCACACAUAAACCAGUCUAUUAGGUUGGAGAGUUGUUAAGCUAUGUAGCAGAGCAAUUAUACUUCCGAUAGGCUUAAUUAUUGAAACCAAAACUUUUUUUUUAUUUAGCACUACUAGAGUUCACUAGUAUAAAAGUGAAGCUAUUCAUAGUGUUACUCUUUUAUUUAUUUGUAAAUUUUAAGCUAAGUCUAUGAUGUAAAGUUUAGAUGUUAUACUAUAGCAGUCAUAUCUAAUAGGAGAGAGAACGCAAUUGGCCUUGAGGAGUUAAAACUUGACGAGGGGUAGAAACGCAUGCGACCUUGAAUAAAGGAAAUAGACGUAUAUUCGAUUAUAGUUAGCUAGUCCCGGAGGGACACGAAACUGUUGUAUAUCAACAAGACUAUUUUUGCUUAUAAGCCUCAACUGGUAGUAAUAUCCUGGCCCGAAAGGAGGAAAGGAAGUUAACCUGGAUGUGCAGUUAUAGGUGGAUCUUAAAUUUUUACAUUUAAAAAAAUUAGUGGGCUAUGAAUGGGCAAAGAUUAAAAUUUAUUUUGCGCUAUUUUAAGUUCUUUAUAAUAAUAGUCUUUAUCUGAUAUUCUCUAGUUAGUUAGUUCCUAUUCCUGUGUAGCGUGUUUUAUAACAGCGCCUGGAUUGAGACUAGUAAAGCUAUGAGGUGGGGCGCCUCCGGCGUCGGAUUUACAAUUAUAAAUCUUAGUAAAAUCAAUUUUACGUCUUUAGGGCUAUCGGGUCCGGCAUGAAACUCGGUCGGGUGGUACUAUACUCGUAAACAAAUAGCGCCUCAUAUAAAUAAUAAAAACAAAAAUGAUGAUGAUGAUAAAAAAUAUAAACUUACUUAAAUCCUGCACUUUUCCCCGCGGAGCGGGGAAAAGGGCGCAAGCUCGAGCAGGUAAAUUUUUCUUAAAUUGUGCAUUAACGUACAAUCGUUUUUUCUCCGUAAAUUCUAAUUUAUUGCUGGCUUCGCAUAAAAAUAAUAUACAAAUUCAGAGAGAAUUAGAGCAUAGCUUUGAUUUUUAUACUUGGUUUGUAGGAUUUUCAGAUGCUGAAUCUAGUUUUAGCAUAGUCCCUAAACAAGAUAAUAAAGGCGAUGUUAAUAGAUUUUCUUUUAUGUUUGCUAUUGGUUUACAUCUAGAUGAUAUAGAGGCUUUAAAUUAUAUCCAAUCUAAAUUAAAUUUUGGUGUAGUUAGGCUUUUAAAAGAUGAAUGUAAAUUAGUAGUUACUAAAAAAGAGGACAUAGAAAAAUUAAUAUUAAUAUUCGAUAGAUUUAAUCUUAAUACUACUAAACAUUUAGAUUAUUUAGACUUUAAAAAAGCUUUUAAUUUAUAUUUUAGUAGAGAAAAUGUCUUAACAGAUGUUUUGAAAACCCAAAGGCCCCCGGGGCCCCGGCUGCGCCGGGGCCCCAGGGGUCAUUUCCCCCCACCCACUCAGCUGAGCUGAGAGGGUCGCGAAGCUUGGGGGGAAAUAUUAAAUUUAAAAGAUAGUAUGAAUAAAAAACGUACUAAUUUUGAGAUGCCUAUUGAUCAUAAUAUAGUUAUAACUAAAAGUUGAUUAUUAGGUUUAAUAGAGGGUGAAGGGUCAUUUCAGUUAUGAAGAAAUGAUGUAGUAGCUGUUUUGAGUUUAGUUUUAACAGAAAGGCAAUUGCCUGUUUUAGAAAAGAUGAAAGAAUUUUUAUUUAAUGAUUUAGGUUUUGAUCUAUAUUCUAAAUUUAAAUUAGGUUCUUCUUCAGCUAUAACAAUUAACAAUCAAAAAGCUAGAAAGAAUAGUAAAGCAAGUGCUUUAUUAAUUAUUAAAAAUAUUUAUAUUCUUAAUAACUAUUUUGUACCUUAUUUAGAAAACAUGCCAUUUUUAACCAAAAAGGGUAAAGAUUUUAAAGAUUUUAAAUUGAUCUGUAGUUUAUUAUAUAACGGAUCCCAUAAAAAUGACGAGAUAAAAUCUCUUAUUUUAAAAUUAUCAAAUACCAUGAAUAAUUUUAGGUUGUCUACUAAUCCUAAAGAGGUGGAGUUAUUAAAUAAUUCUGAAAUGAAUAUUUUAGUAAAUGCUCCUCAUGUUGUUAAACAUUUGAAUGAUGGUAGACAAAUAGAUUUGAGGACAGAUAAAAUUAUCCAUCAACAUUCUAGUAGUAUUUAUGAAGUAAUUAAGCCUAAUAAAGAGAGGGUUUUAUUAUUAACUUUAUUCGAAGCUGCAGAUAUUGUAGGUGUAGAUAUUAGAACCUUAAGUAAGCUAUUAGCUGAAGUAUCUACUGAUGCAGUAGAAGUUAAGGGUUAUUUUGUUAAAAGAAUAGCUGUGUUUGUACCUAAUGUUCGAAAGGACUAGAAAGGGAGGGGAGCGAAACGCUUGUUGGCUUCGCAUCCCGUAACUUAAAAAAAAAGUAAAGUAAAAUUGAGAUUAAGGUUACAACCGAAUCAGUUUUAUAGAUUGUAGAAAAAUUAGGUGAAAACGGUUAAUGACAUCCUAGUUAAAGACCGUCGGCAUUUGUAAAUGUCGCUACAGACUGGAUCGCCGGGGUAAGGCUGUAAUGCCUAUCCAAAUGUACAGUCGGAUUCCAUAACGAAAUAGUAAAUUCGUAAAAGGGAAGGAUUAUUCAAAAAAAAUAGUUUUGAAUUGCUAUCACACAUUAGUUAGUUAACCUUUAGUUAAUUGGAAUUGGCAGAUGCUGCUUACCUCUAGCUGGACGAGAAGACCCUAUGCAGCUUUACUGUUACUAAUUAUAGGGUAUAGAAGGCAAAUUUUAGAUAUAAGGUAUAUCGAUUGAUGAUUAUGAAAAUCCUUUAUUUUUCUUUUAUAUUUUUGAAUGAAAUCAGGAAUAUAUGCUUAACAGCUAUAUUAGUGAUUUAACCUAGUUCGAAUAAUGGCCUUGGGUGAGGAACUAUUGUUAGGAGACAGUUUAUGCGGGGCACAGACCCCAUAAAGAGUAAAUGGGAGUGUCUAAUAUUUAUAAUGUAAUAUCGUAUUUAUAUGAUAUUUUUUUUUGUUUGUUGUUUUAUGUAGAUAAACUACGUAUUAUCUUAUAUAAUUUUUUGUAUAUAUGCACGACCAUAUAUAUAUUUAAUAAAGUUUAUAUAGCAAUUUUUUGAUAGGUAAGAUUUUCUCUAAAGAGAAAUUAGAUGUACUGAAUAUAUUAUGAUCUGAAUCUAAUAUUUUCUUAGUUAUAAUUUAUUAUAAUAUUGAUUAGUACUUAGAAAGCUCAACGGCUUAAAUCUUGCCUUACUGUUUGAUUAACAACAAAUCUUUCAGUUGCGUAAGCAGGGCGUAGGAUCACAAGAUGCAUAAAGGAAAGAUCUUGUAUUAUAGGAAAAGCUACGCUAGGGAUAACAGGCUAAUUUGCGCAAGAGUGUACAAAAUGAGUGCGCGGUUUGGCACCUCGAUGUCGGCUUAACUUAUCCUCAUGGAUGCAAGAACUAUGUAGGGUACGACUGUUCGUCGAUUAAAAAGUUACAUGAGCUGGGUUAAAUACGUCGUGAGACAGUAUGGUUUCCAUCCUCUAGGGGGAAUUAGAAUAUAAUAAGGAUUAACCUUUGUACGAAAGGAACUGGUAGUAUAUAAUCUUAAAAAUUAUAUAACAUUUAUUAACCUAUGGUUUACCUGUUGUUUAUAUGCCCAAUAUUAAUUUAUAUAUAAUAUAUUAUUAUAUUAUAUGGGAUUAUACUAAACUCACUUAAGUAUCUUUAUAGUAUAGGCACGGCAGGAAAGCUAAGUUAGUUAAAGAUAAGAACUGAAAGCAUAUAGGUUCGAAGCUUACCUUAGGAUAUUUCUUAAAUAUGCGUAAUAUAAUAUUACGAAGAUUUUUAUAGGCUUUAUUUGAAAGAAUUAGAAAUUUUUAAAAAUAAAGUACUAAUUUUAUAAAUUACUAAACAUUAAUAUAUCUUACAUUUUUAAUA